rnacentral:misc_RNA from 1 species
GAUCAUUACUGAUUUGCUUAAUUGCACCACAUGUGUUUUUCUUUGAAACAAACUUGCUUUGGCGGUGGGCCCAGCCUGCCGCCAGAGGUCUAAACUUACAACCAAUUUUUUAUCAACUUGUCACACCAGAUUAUUACUAAUAGUCAAAACUUUCAACAACGGAUCUCUUGGUUCUCGCAUCGAUGAAGAACGCAGCGAAAUGCGAUACGUAAUAUGAAUUGCAGAUAUUCGUGAAUCAUCGAAUCUUUGAACGCACAUUGCGCCCUCUGGUAUUCCGGAGGGCAUGCCUGUUUGAGCGUCGUUUCUCCCUCAAACCGCUGGGUUUGGUGUUGAGCAAUACGACUUGGGUUUGCUUGAAAGACGGUAGUGGUAAGGCGGGAUCGCUUUGACAAUGGCUUAGGUCUAACCAAAAACAUUGUUUGCGGCGGUAACGUCCACCACGUAUAUCUUCAAACUUUGACCUCAAAUCAGG